rnacentral:rRNA from 1 species
UACGGGGGGAGCAAGCGUUGUUCGGAUUUACUGGGCGUAAAGAGCGCGCAGGCGGUCGUUCAAGUCGAGUGUGAAAGCCCCCGGCUCAACUGGGGAGGGUCACUCGAUACUGAUCGACUUGAAGGCAGGAGAGGGAAGCGGAAUUCCCGGUGUAGUGGUGAAAUGCGUAGAUAUCGGGAGGAACACCAGUGGCGAAAGACGCCUUUGACUUUGGG